GACGAACGCUGGCGGCGUGCCUAAUACAUGCAAGUAGAACGCUGAAGGAGGAGCUUGCUUCUCCGGAUGAGUUGCGAACGGGUGAGUAACGCGUAGGUAACCUGCCUGGUAGCGGGGGAUAACUAUUGGAAACGAUAGCUAAUACGGCAUAACAGUAGAUGUUGCAUGACAUUUGCUUAAAAGGUGCAAUUGCAUCACUACCAGAUGGACCUGCGUUGUAUUAGCUAGUUGGUGAGGUAACGGCUCACCAAGGCGACGAUACAUAGCCGACCUGAGAGGGUGAUCGGCCACACUGGGACUGAGACACGGCCCAGACUCCUACGGGAGGCAGCAGUAGGGAAUCUUCGGCAAUGGACGGAAGUCUGACCGAGCAACGCCGCGUGAGUGAAGAAGGUUUUCGGAUCGUAAAGCUCUGUUGUAAGAGAAGAACGAGUGUGAGAGUGGAAAGUUCACACUGUGACGGUAUCUUACCAGAAAGGGACGGCUAACUACGUG
rnacentral:rRNA from 1 species